rnacentral:rRNA from 1 species
AUUGAACGCUGGCGGCAUGCUUUACACAUGCAAGUCGAACGGUAACAGGCCGCAAGGUGCUGACGAGUGGCGAACGGGUGAGUAAUGCAUCGGAACGUGCCCAGUCGUGGGGGAUAACUACUCGAAAGAGUAGCUAAUACCGCAUACGAUCUAUGGAUGAAAGCGGGGGACCGUAAGGCCUCGCGCGAUUGGAGCGGCCGAUGUCAGAUUAGGUAGUUGGUGGGGUAAAGGCUCACCAAGCCAACGAUCUGUAGCUGGUCUGAGAGGACGACCAGCCACACUGGGACUGAGACACGGCCCAGACUCCUACGGGAGGCAGCAGUGUGGAAUUUUGGACAAUGGGCGCAAGCCUGAUCCAGCAAUGCCGCGUGCAGGAAGAAGGCCUUCGGGUUGUAAACUGCUUUUGUACGGAACGAAACGGCUCUGGUUAAUACCCGGGGCUAAUGACGGUACCGUAAGAAUAAGCACCGGCUAACUACGUG